UACGAAGGGGCUAGCGUUGCUCGGAAUCACUGGGCGUAAAGGGUGCGUAGGCGGGUCUUUAAGUCAGGGGUGAAAUCCUGGAGCUCAACUCCAGAACUGCCUUUGAUACUGAAGAUCUUGAGUUCGGGAGAGGUGAGUGGAACUGCGAGUGUAGAGGUGAAAUUCGUAGAUAUUACGCAAGAACACCAGUGGCGAAGGCGGCU
rnacentral:rRNA from 1 species